ACACAGGCCCUUCUCAGGGCUACUAAAUUCUUGAGGUGGAAGAAAAU
rfam:Heterocephalus glaber contig4588, whole genome shotgun sequence.